rnacentral:lncRNA from 1 species
UGAGGGCCCCGUACAGUGAAAAAUCCUCCUGGAAUAGAAGUCCAUCCUGUGCUACCAUCACUAAUAUCAACGUAAGACAAUGAGCCCCCUUCCUGGAGCUGUGCCGUCCAUUCUAAGCUCUGUGUCUUUUCUUCAGCUUGAGCAUUGUUUUCACUUUGCUCCAUAAUUGAAUUCCUUGCUGUGACCAGGAGUUCUUAUCAACAAAUUACUUGCAGAUCUCUCGGUAUUAGCGAAGGAUUGUAGCUCCACCCAAAGUAGGAGUAAGUCUUCAAAAACGCAUGGAGCGACUUUCACGGCAACCUUCCAGGAGAAACCACCUUCAAACGUACGAUCGGAAAAAUAUGG